GAGUGACUGAGAGAGAGUUCCACUUAAAUUGAAAUAGUUUGGUGGAUUUAGAAAUAAGAUGAGUGUACAUCCCUUCACUAUAUUCCUUCCGCAGCACGUGCAAAUAAGUUGACAAUGACCCAAAACACACCUCCUGGCUGUGUAAGGGCUAUUUGACCAAGAAGGAGAGUGAUGGAGUGCUGCAUCAGAUGACCUGGCCUCCACAAUCGGCUGACCUCAACCCAAUUGAGAUGAUUUGGGAUGAGUUGGACCAUGGAGUGAAUGAAAAGCAGCCAACAAGUGCUCAGCACAUGUGGGAACUCCUUCAAGACUGUUGGAAAAGCAUUUUUUAUUAUUUUAUUUAACCUUUAUAUAACUAGGCAAGUCCGCAUGGAUUCCAGGUGACUACCUCAUGAAGCUGGUUGAGAAAAUGCCAAGAGUUUGCAAAGCUGUCAUUAAGGCAAAGGACUGAUCAUGUCAACAUCAUACUUUCAAAAUCUUAGCUAGCAGUCAUCAUCAUGAAUCAAGUCUACAAUUUACUGGCAAAUCCUUUUUAAUCCUUCUCAUAUGAAGAGAAAUAAUGAAGAGAAAUUAUAGAUAAAACCUAUUGGUGCUCAUCGGCCAUUGGCCAUAAACAUUACAUAACAAGUUGGAAAUCGUAAAUUCAACAAUGAUUGUUUUGGAAGGAAUCAGUGACAGUGGCUGUGUGGUCCCAAAUCUGGGAUGAAGGGGCUUGUUUCCAAGUUUUAAAUGAUAAACAUUCAACAUUGGCCAUGCUGUCAAUGAAGCAUGAUUUGUGCUGUGCUCAAAACAACUGUUAACUAGGAACUGCGAAGACUUGACUUCAGCGAGUUCAAGACAACUGGGAAGUCGGGAAAUAACAAGCUCUGACUGGGAAAAUAGGUUUUGAAAGGUCAUCCAAUUCGGAAUUGUAAAUCCGGCCUUUUUUCUAGAGCUACGACCUGAAGAUCAAUGAUGUCAUCAUGACUCGAUCUUGUUUUUUUACGGAGUUCCCAGUUGUCUUGAUAGCACCAUAAAUCCAGAGAAUACCAGGCUUUGAUGACAAAAGUUGCCCACGAAGGACUGCCGCGCUAACCUUACUGUUCAAGUGAGCACAACAAGGACGGCGAUAUUCUCCAGCCUGCGCCCAGGGUCCCUUGCCUUCCAGUAUCUCCUCCCAUGUCCACUAGUCCAGAAAACACUGCUUGGUCUUCUUGUGGUGGGAUCUUCUGUAACGCUCGUCUGAAGAAGUGGACCAAGAUGCAGCGUGGGGUGUAAAAGAAACAAACUGGACAAGUAGAUGCACAAUGGAUUAUGAUCACUGUAGUUAAUUACCUUUAUGUGCUAAACUAUGUUGGACAUUGGCCUGUUGGAAACUACAACUCCCUACUACAUUUCCAGGCUGGAUCACAACCGGCUGUGAAUGGGAGUCCCAUAGGGCGGCGCCCAAUUGGCCCAGCAUCGUCAGGGUUAGUGUUUGGCUGAGGUAGGCCGUCAUUGUGAAUAAGAAUUUGUUCUUAACUGACUUGCCUAGUUACAUAAGGGAAGAAAAACUUUGCAAAGUUUAGGCUGGAUCUGAUUUAUCUCUAGAGAAACUGUGCAAUGUGGGCAUUGAGCUCACCGGAAAAAAAAACAGAACGAAAUGGAAUUCAAAUAGUUGAAACAAUGUUGGUCAAUUAGUUGUUUGAAAACAGAAAAAGAACCAACAUUUCGGUUAAUCGCUCAGCACUAAACUGGAAUAACUAAUUAAUUGAUUGAAUUGUGUCCUGUACAUCUCACUGAUUGCCUCCAUAUCUCUUUGAAUAAAAACCUUCAGCAUCACCUUGUCUCGGUGUGAUCAAUCUUCUAGUUGAUCAAUCUUCUAGUUUUCUAUUUGUUAGAUUGCUCCUUCCCCGUUCAUAGACGCUAACUACCUUUACCGCCUAUUGAUGAGGUAUCUUUAGCGCUUAUUGAUGAAGGUAUAUUUUUCCUGGGGGACUUUUGUUAAGAUCCCCUCACACUCGGUCUGAUGACUAAACACAUUUAAAGGG
ensembl:lncRNA